CAGCAGCCGCGGUAAUACGUAGGGAGCAAGCGUUGUUCGGAUUUACUGGGCGUAAAGGGCGCGUAGGCGGCGCGGUAAGUCACUUGUGAAAUCUCUGAGCUUAACUCAGAACGGCCAAGUGAUACUGCUGUGCUAGAGUGCGGAAGAGGCAACCGGAAUUCUUGGUGUAGCGGUGAAAUGCGUAGAUAUCAAGAGGAACACCUGAGGCGAAGGCGGGUUGCUGGGCCGACACUGACGCUGAUGCGCGAAAGCCAGGGGAGCAAACGGGAUUAGAUACCCCCGUAGUCCCUGUCUCUUAUAC
rnacentral:rRNA from 1 species